rnacentral:rRNA from 1 species
AUGGCGCCGACUGCCCAGAUUGCGGCGCAUGAGCGGCUUGGAGGCUGCGCGUGCGCGUGCAAGGCGGCGGUGAGAUGCCACCCGGCGCUGUCGUCGGAGAGGAAAGCGUCCAUGAGGGGAGUCGUCGGCGAGCUGCUCGCGGCCGCCGGCAAGGACAAGGGCCUCGUCUCCCUCGGCGUUGGCGACGCCUCCGCGCACGCCUGCUUCCGCCGGGGCGGGGAGUUCGCGGCCGACGCCGUCGCCUGCGCCGCCAGGUCCGGGGACUUCGACUGCUACGCGCCUUCCUACGGCUUCCCCGCCGCUCGCCGCGCGGUCGCCGACUACCUGUCUGCCGGCACACACCACCGCAUCCAGGAGUCUGAUGUGUUCAUGACGGUCGGAGGUACAGGCGCGAUCACUGCCAUCACCACGGUGCUCGGUGGGGCUCCAGGGGCUAGCAUCCUGCUGCCUCGACCGGGCUUUGCCCCCUAUGAGGCAGCCUGCAAGCUUGUCGGUGCCGAGCCUCGGUUCUACGACCUCCUGCCCCGGCAAGGCUGGGAGGCCGACCUUGCAGGAGUACGUGCCAUGGCUGAUGGCGCCACGGCAGCCAUAGUUGUCAUCAAUCCAAACAAUCCUUGUGGCGCGGUCUACUCUACGCAGCAUCUUCUCCAGAUUGCUGAAACUGCAAAAGAGUUGGGGAUUCCAGUAAUAGCGGAUGAGGUAUAUGCACAUAUGGUCUUUGGUGCCAGCAAGUUUGUGCCCAUGGCCUCGUAUGCACACAUCGCACCAGUUAUCACUAUUGGAGCCAUCUCAAAGAGAUUCAUGCUACCAGGAUGGCGUCUCGGUUGGUUGGCAUUCUGUGAUCCUAAUGGUACAAUCAAGCAUGUCAGAACUGCAACUGAGAUGCUACUGAACGUGACUUCAGGACCAGCCUCGAUCAUUCAGGCAGCAGUUCCCAAGAUUCUUUUGGACGAACAUGACGAGUUCCAUCAGAAUGUUGUGAACUUGCUAGAGUCUGCUGCUGAUGCUCUCUACGGAAGAGUGAACCAGAUUGAAGCUCUGCAAUGCUACUCAAAGCCUCACGGUUCAAUGUUCAUGAUGGUUGAAAUCAACACUUCACUUCUGUUCGGCAUUGCAGAUGACAUGGACUUUGCUCGCGAAUUGAUCAAAGAAGAAUCAGUUCUUAUUUUACCUGGUUCUGUCCUUGGGUUGAAGAACUGGGUUAGGAUAUUCUUUGGGGCACCUGUUCAUGUAAUACUGGAAGCCUGCGAUAGGAUUGAGUCAUUCUGCCAGAGAAGGGCAGGUCAAGCAAAACUAUUGAAAAAAAAGUUCUGA